rnacentral:rRNA from 1 species
UACAGAGGGUGCAAGCGUUGUUCGGAAUUAUUGGGCGUAAAGCGCGUGUAGGCGGCUUUGUAAGUCGGGUGUGAAAUCCCUCAGCUUAACUGAGGAAGUGCGCCCGAAACUGUGAGGCUUGAGUACCGGAGAGGAUGGCGGAAUUCCCCAAGUAGAGGUGAAAUUCGUAGAUAUGGGGAGGAACACCGGUGGCGAAGGCGGCCAUCUGGACGGUAACUGACGCUGAGACGCGAAAGCGUGGGGAGCAAACGGG